rnacentral:tRNA from 1 species
CAGGGAGGACAACAAAAUGUUAAAUAUUAAUUUUGUCACCUUAGGUCGAUCGGUACCUCACAUUCUUAAUUUUAUUAAGAAUUUUUUUUCCUAAGUUUUUUCUAGGUCACACCCAUUACUUUUCCUGGGCCAUUAGCUCAGGUGGUUAGAGCGCACCCCUGAUAAGGGUGAGGUCCCUGGUUCAAGUCCAGGAUGGCCCAUAUCUCUAUGUUGGGGGUAUAGCUCAGUUGGUAGAGCGCCUGCUUUGCAAGCAGGAUGUCAGCGGUUCGAGUCCGCUUACCUCCACUGAUUACCACCUCUUCCAUAAUUUUUAGAAAGGGAAUUGUUUGAGUUGUGAUCAAAUUCUGAACGAAUCUAGCUUCCUAAUAAAACUUAUUAAGAUGCUGGACUCAUUGAAUUAAUUUCAUUGUUUUCAGAGAACCUUGACAACUGCAUAGAUUAUUUUUAAAGACAAUAAGCAUCUUUAAUGAUGCAGAUUUAUUAUUUGGCGAAUGCAUUAAUAACAAUUCUUUAAGCUGAUGCUUCAA